UUUCAGCCCGUGUCGAACGCCGCCCGGCCUCUCCGGGCGGCGCUUUGCU
rnacentral:sRNA from 1 species